UUUUUGACUAUACUCUGUGAA
ensembl:piRNA 21ur-11820 ncRNA